UUAGUGGCGAACGGGUGAGUAACACGUGGGCAAUCUGCCCUUCACUCUGGGACAAGCCCUGGAAACGGGGUCUAAUACCGGAUAACACUCUGUCCCGCAUGGGACGGGGUUAAAAGCUCCGGCGGUGAAGGAUGAGCCCGCGGCCUAUCAGCUUGUUGGUGGGGUAAUGGCCUACCAAGGCGACGACGGGUAGCCGGCCUGAGAGGGCGACCGGCCACACUGGGACUGAGACACGGCCCAGACUCCUACGGGAGGCAGCAGUGGGGAAUAUUGCACAAUGGGCGAAAGCCUGAUGCAGCGACGCCGCGUGAGGGAUGACGGCCUUCGGGUUGUAAACCUCUUUCAGCAGGGAAGAA
rnacentral:rRNA from 1 species